rnacentral:lncRNA from 1 species
CUCGGAGGGAGAGUGUUUGCCUUCCUGUGGGAAUUAACACUCAGGACAUUGACAUUAUUUGUUCAAAUGCAAACUGUGCCUGGUUCUUUUGGUAUGUCCUAUCUUUUUGAGUUCUUUUUGAGGCUUUCUCUAUAUCAAGUAUUGCCCUUUCUCAAAGAGGGAGGUAGGAAGUUUCCUUGUGUUAUGUCUUUCAAUAAUAAUGAUUGUGAAUGA